rnacentral:lncRNA from 1 species
UUGAAUCUCAUAUUUUGAUGAUGAAACCACUUGAUAUGUAUUUAUGAUUUAAUCUGCAUUUUGAGUGACGCAAGAUACUUCGAUCAGGAUGAGACAAUUAAAGUAGGAAAAUCAUGUUGUGCCGGAGAAACAUUCAGAAGAUUGGACGUCGGGCCGGUGGAUCGGUCGACGUAUCAAUAGAAGACUUCAGGCUGUAGAUUCGGG